UCUUCCCCGAAUCUUUCGCUUCAUCUUCUCCAAUUCUGAUUUUUUUCUACCUAACCUUCUCAAUCAAUGAUGAUGUUAAAGCUAAUCUUGAAUGUUUUGUUUCACCUUCCCUUGAUACUUCUCCUAUAUAUAUAUAUAUAUAUUUUUUUUUUUUGUCAAACGAUACUAGCUCUAUCUCUAAACCUAAAUCCCUCAUAAAACCACAAAACUACUCUGCAGAAGCUACUUCCAUGGCAACGAAAUCCCCCGGGAAGAGUCAGCUCGGAAAAUCUACCGUCGCGGCCUAUUUCAAGACAUCUUACCAGGACCAGCUGAGUCAGGGUUUCGAUUUCGGGUAAUCCUUUUUUGGGAGGCAAGAAACAUAGCCAAAGCUGGGGCCUUUAUUGGGAUAGAUCUCCUACUCAUUGAUGAACAUGAGACUGUGAUGCAAGGAUUCAUAUCCUCUCUUCGUGCUCCAACAUACCUGCCUCAUGUCAAAGCAGGAGCAACUUACACCCUUCAGAAUUUUUAUGCUGCCAAAAGCAAGGAGAUUUAUUGCUUUGCUGAUCAGAGUUUAAUAGUUUCAUUCUCAAACGGCUCUGUUCUCAAACCCCUUGACGACAUCCGCCUCUCUUUUGCCGCAUUCAGGUUCAGGUUCCACGCAUAUGAGGAUAUCCAAGCUAAUUGUGGUCUCAGGGGUGACCUCUACGAUGUCGUUGGCCACUUGAGGCUGAUGAAUGGACAGUCCUUGACGAAGCUGAAAUAAUCAACAUGCGUCAUGUUUUGGUACAUUUGCAAUCAAAAGAUUGUCCUGUUAAAAAGCUGUAUCUUUGGGACCAAGCUUCAAAAGAUUUUUACAAGAAAUCCACAUCAACUGAAGACACUUCCACCGUUAUUUUGAUCACUACUGUGAACCCAAAACGUCUAGGAGAAACAGUGAAUUUAGCUCUCAGUUCGAUGUCAACCUCAUGUGUCUUUAUAUAUUAAGAUGUCCAGCCCACGAUUGAUUACAACUGUUUUUCACAGGUUGAGUUCUAAUCCAAAGAUUGCUAAGCGGCUUAAUGCAGACGAGGUUACUAGGGCUGAGACAAUGACAAUUGGGAAAAUCCUUGCUUACAUCAAGCAAGAAUAUGCCAAGGAAGGUUCUUUCGACUGCAUAGCGACAAUUGAUGAUGUUGAGCGUGACAGUGCAUGGUAUUAUAUUGCAUGCAUCGGUUGUCAAAGUAAGGCCAUCAAAGGCCCUUAUUCGUUGAUGUGCGCCAAGUGUGGCAACACUAACGUUGCUGGUGAGCAAGAUCUCUCCUUCUACGACAAUAACGACCGGCUUCGUCAUACUUGGUGACGCAGGACGUGAGUUAACAGGGAAGAAUGCUGUGGAAUUAGUUGACAACUACUUUGAGGCUAAUCAAGAACUUGGUGUUGGCCAUGAGAUGUCUGCCCCCCCCCAACUCCCCCCAAGCUUUGAUCGACACACCAUUGGUCAAACACAUAAGUUCAGGGUGAAGGUGUAACAGGCAAGAUUCAGACUAUAACUGUUACUAAGAUUAUCAAACCAGAAGUUCUGCCACCUGUACCAACUCCAACUGAAAUCCCACUUGAUGCGGGUGAGGAAGUUGACGUGCUUUUUGGAAGUGUAGUUUGUGAAUCUUUCAAGGACUGUGGAUUCGUUGCUGAUGAGAGAAAUGAAAGUACCAAUAACAAAAAGACGAAUCACAGAAGGCUAAGUGUGCUAAACAUGUAAAAUAAGAUUCCACCACUCAUUUCAUUCGAUGCAGUGUUACUGUCUUUAUUUCCAGUUUAGGUCAAGACUAUGCUUUUACCGUUAUUUUAAACUUUCACUCUUGCUUUGGUUUGAUAUUUCCAAACACUACGCUUCUUUGUUUAGAGUUUGA